AUUGAACGCUGGCGGAAUGCUUUACACAUGCAAGUCGAACGGCAGCACGGGGGCAGCCCUGGUGGCGAGUGGCGAACGGGUGAGUAAUACAUCGGAACGUGCCCGGUCGUGGGGGAUAACGUAGCGAAAGUUACGCUAAUACCGCAUACGAUCUGAGGAUGAAAGCGGGGGACCUUCGGGCCUCGCGCGACCGGAGCGGCCGAUGUCAGAUUAGGUAGUUGGUGGGGUAAAGGCCUACCAAGCCGACGAUCUGUAGCUGGUCUGAGAGGACGACCAGCCACACUGGGACUGAGACACGGCCCAGACUCCUACGGGAGGCAGCAGUGGGGAAUUUUGGACAAUGGGCGCAAGCCUGAUCCAGCCAUUCCGCGUGCAGGACGAAGGCCUUCGGGUUGUAAACUGCUUUUGUACGGAACGAAAAGGCUCUGGCUAAUACCUGGGGCUCAUGACGGUACCGUAAGAAUAAGCACCGGCUAACUACGUG
rnacentral:rRNA from 1 species